GGCGGUGUGGCCGAGUGGUUAUGGCGUUGGUCUAGAAAACCAAUAAGUUUAUCUUUCACAGGUUCGAAUCCUGUCGCCGUCG
rfam:Nosema bombycis CQ1 unplaced genomic scaffold NBO_1180, whole genome shotgun sequence.